rnacentral:lncRNA from 1 species
NNNNNNNNUCUUUCUCUUCCUCCAUCUCCUCCUUCUCCUUUCCUUUCUUUAUCUCUCCCUCCCUUUUUUGUUCUUCUCUUUCCUUCCUUGUCGUCUCUCCCUCUCCUUCCCUCCCUCUUCUCCUUUUUAUCUCUCCCUUUUUUCUUCUCCUCAUGCCUUCCUUCCUUCCACCUCUGUCUUUCUUUCUUUCUUUCUUUCUUUCUUUCUUUCUUUCUUUCUUUCUUUCUUUCUUUCUUUUUUUUCCUCUUUAUCUCCCUCCCUCUUUCCUUUCUCUUCCUCCAUCUCCUCCUUCUCCUUUCCUUUCUUUAUCCCUCCCUCCCUUUUUUGUUCUUCUCUUUCCUUCCUUGUCGUCUCUCCCUCUCCUUCCUCCCUCUUCUCCUUUUUAUCUCUCCCUUUUUUCUUCUCCUCAUGCCUUCCUUNNNNNNNNNNCUUCCUUGUCGUCUCUCCCUCUCCUUCCUCCCUUCUCCUUUUUAUCUUUCCCUUUUUUCUUCUCCUCAUGCCUUCCUUCCUUCCACCUCUGCCUUUCUUUCUUUCUUUCUUUCUUUUUCUUUCUUUCUUUCUUCUUUCUUUCUUUUCUUUCUUUCUUUCUUUCUUUCUUUCUUUCUUUUUUCUUUUUUUUUUCUUUCUUUCUUUCUUUCUUUCUUUCUUUCUUUCUUUCUUUCUUUCUUUCUUUCUUUCCUUCUUUCUUUCUUUCCUCUUUAUCUCCCUCCCUCUUUCCUUUCUCUUCCUCCAUCUCCUCCUUCUCCUUUCCUUUCUUUAUCCCUCCCUCCCUUUUUUGUUCUUCUCUUUCCUUCCUUGUCAUCUCUCCCUCUCCUUCCCUCCCUCUUCUCCUUUUUAUCUCUCCCUUUUUUCUUCUCCUCAUGCCUUCCUUCCUUCCACCUCUGCCUUUCUUUCUUUCUCUUUCUUUCUUUCUCUUUCUUUCUUUCUUUUUCUUUCUUUUCUUUCUUUUUCUUUUUCUCUCUUUUCCCUUCCCUUCCUUCCCUUUUAUUUUUCCUUUUCCUUCCUUCCUUUCCUUUCUUUUUUCCUCCCUCUUCCUCCUCUUUUUUUGUUCUGCUUCCUUCUUUUCCUUUCCCUCCCUCUCCUCUGCUUCUUUCUUUCUUUCCUCCUUCCCUGCCUCUNNNNNNNNNNUUUUCCUUCCUUUCCUUUUUCCUCCCUCUCCUCUGCUUCUUUCUUUCCUUCCUUCCUCCCUCCCUCCUUCCCAAGAAAAACUGCCCCCCCCUCAUCCUCCAGAGGCAGCACCCCCACUUCUCACCUUGGCUUUCUUCUGAUAUACCAACUGGCUGUUCUGGAUGGAGAACCAGCGCCUGCAACAGAGACACAGCAGCUGAGCAGGGAAGGACGGCCCAGGAGAGCUUCCCUAGGCCAGAGCAGUCUACCUCACCGAGAACAAUUGAAAGGGCAGGCUCCCUUCAACCUCAAAGGUUAAAUAGGUAGAGGCAGCCCCUGACUUACGACCACAGUUAGGAGCAGAACUUUUCUUGUUAAGCAAGGCGAUUGUUAACGGGGAUGCUGAAAGUGUGGGAAAUUCUUUUUUCAGUGCCGUCCUAACUUCGGAUGGCCGCUAAACGAAUGGUCGGAAGUUGAGGACUACUUAUACUAAG